rnacentral:rRNA from 1 species
GAGAAUGCCGGUGUGAGUAGCGAAAGACGGGUGAGAAUCCCGUCCACCGAUUGACUAAGGUUUCCAGAGGAAGGCUCGUCCGCUCUGGGUUAGUCGGGUCCUAAGCUGAGGCCGACAGGCGUAGGCGAUGGAUAACAGGUUGAUAUUCCUGUACCACCUAUAAUCGUUUUAAUCGAUGGGGGGACGCAGUAGGAUAGGCGAAGCGUGCGAUUGGAUUGCACGUCUAAGCAGUAAGGCUGAGUAUUAGGCAAAUCCGGUACUCGUUAAGGCUGAGCUGUGAUGGGGAGAAGACAUUGUGUCUUCGAGUCGUUGAUUUCACACUGCCGAGAAAAGCCUCUAGAUAGAAAAUAGGUGCCCGUACCGCAAACCGACACAGGUAGUCAAGAUGAGAAUUCUAAGGUGAGCGAGCGAACUCUCGUUAAGGAACUCGGCAAAAUGACCCCGUAACUUCGGGAGAAGGGGUGCUCUUUAGGGUUAACGCCCAGAAGAGCCGCAGUGAAUAGGCCCAAGCGACUGUUUAUCAAAAACACAGGUCUCUGCUAAACCGUAAGGUGAUGUAUAGGGGCUGACGCCUGCCCGGUGCUGGAAGGUUAAGAGGAGUGGUUAGCUUCUGCGAAGCUACGAAUCGAAGCCCCAGUAAACGGCGGCCGUAACUAUAACGGUCCUAAGGUAGCGAAAUUCCUUGUCGGGUAAGUUCCGACCCGCACGAAAGGCGUAACGAUUUGGGCACUGUCUCAACGAGAGACUCGGUGAAAUCAUAGUACCUGUGAAGAUGCAGGUUACCCGCGACAGGACGGAAAGACCCCGUGGAGCUUUACUGUAGCCUGAUAUUGAAAUUCGGCACAGCUUGUACAGGAUAGGUAGGAGCCUUUGAAACGUGAGCGCUAGCUUACGUGGAGGCGCUGGUGGGAUACUACCCUAGCUGUGUUGGCUUUCUAACCCGCACCACUUAUCGUGGUGGGAGACAGUGUCAGGCGGGCAGUUUGACUGGGGCGGUCGCCUCCUAAAAGGUAACGGAGGCGCUCAAAGGUUCCCUCAGAAUGGUUGGAAAUCAUUCAUAGAGUGUAAAGGCAUAAGGGAGCUUGACUGCGAGACCUACAAGUCGAGCAGGGUCGAAAGACGGACUUAGUGAUCCGGUGGUUCCGCAUGGAAGGGCCAUCGCUCAACGGAUAAAAGCUACCCCGGGGAUAACAGGCUUAUCUCCCCCAAGAGUUCACAUCGACGGGGAGGUUUGGCACCUCGAUGUCGGCUCAUCG